rnacentral:rRNA from 1 species
UACGUAGGGGGCAAGCGUUGUCCGGAAUCAUUGGGCGUAAAGAGCGUGUAGGCGGCCCGGUAAGUCCGCUGUGAAAGUCGGGGGCUCAACCCUCGAAUGCCGGUGGAUACUGUCGGGCUAGAGUGCGGAAGAGGCGAGUGGAAUUCCUGGUGUAGCGGUGAAAUGCGCAGAUAUCAGGAGGAACACCAAUUGCGAAGGCAGCUCGCUGGGACGUGACUGACGCUGAGACGCGAAAGCGUGGGGAGCAAACAGG